rnacentral:rRNA from 1 species
AGAGUUUGAUCCUGGCUCAGGAUGAACGCUAGCUACAGGCUUAACACAUGCAAGUCGAGGGGCAGCGGGUUGAAAGCUUGCUUUCAAUGCCGGCGACCGGCGCACGGGUGCGUAACGCGUAUCAAACCUGCCUCAUACUCGGGGAUAGCCUUGCGAAAGUAAGAUUAAUACCCGAUGUUAUUGGUUCAUCGCAUGGUGGGCUAAUCAAAGAUUUAUCGGUAUGAGAUGGUGAUGCGUCCGAUUAGGUAGUAGGCGGGGUAACGGCCCACCUAGCCUUCGAUCGGUAGGGGUUCUGAGAGGAAGGUCCCCCACACUGGAACUGAGACACGGUCCAGACUCCUACGGGAGGCAGCAGUGAGGAAUAUUGGUCAAUGGACGCAAGUCUGAACCAGCCAAGUAGCGUGCAGGAUGACGGCCCUCCGGGUUGUAAACUGCUUUUAGUUGGGAAUAAAAAAAGGGACGUGUCCCUUAUUGUAUGUACCUUCAGAAAAAGGACCGGCUAAUUCCGUGCCAGCAGCCGCGGUAAUACGGAAGGUCCAGGCGUUAUCCGGAUUUAUUGGGUUUAAAGGGAGCGUAGGCGGAUUGUUAAGUCAGCGGUUAAAGGGUGUGGCUCAACCAUACAUUGCCGUUGAAACUGGCGAUCUUGAGUGCAGACAGGGAUGCCGGAAUUCGUGGUGUAGCGGUGAAAUGCUUAGAUAUCACGAAGAACUCCGAUCGCGAAGGCAGGUGUCCGGGCUGCAACUGACGCUGAGGCUCGAAAGUGUGGGUAUCAAACAGGAUUAGAUACCCUGGUAGUCCACACAGUAAACGAUGUAUACUCGCGGUUUGCGAUAGAGUGUAAGCCGCCAAGCGAAAGCAUUAAGUAUACCACCUGGGGAGUACGCCGGCAACGGUGAAACUCAAAGGAAUUGACGGGGGCCCG